ACAGAGUUUCAAAACUGGAUAUCCUGACGAUAGCACCAAGGCUUCCGAAAGAAACCAAAGACCAAAUGAGAGACAAAAUAGAGAAAGAGAUGAGAUGGAUGGUUGGCUGGGUGAAUGAUCAGAUAAUAAAUGCCUUCCUGUAUGUGCUGUGUCAAGGACGAGAGUGUAAGGAACGAAAUGUAGCUUUAUCAACUCAGGUUAUAGAGGGAUGGCGAAAUUUCAAGUCGGGAAGGAGUCACAGAGUGGCACUUCUACAAAAUGAAUAACUCUCAGACGCAGAAAAAGUGUUUAUACCGAUUCAUAGACAGGGCAGCCAUUGGACAUUGUUGGUUUUGGAUGUACAAACCAAACAAAUGCGUUUCUAUGACCCCAUGAACCGGACAUUUGAUGAAGAGGUGGUC